GAUGAAGAACGCAGCGAAAUGCGAUAAGUAAUGUGAAUUGCAGAAUUCAGUGAAUCAUCGAAUCUUUGAACGCACAUUGCGCCCAUUAGUAUUCUAGUGGGCAUGCCUGUUCGAGCGUCAUUUCAACCCUCAAGCACUGCUUGGUGUUGGAGCUCUACGCAUUGUAGGCUCUCAAAUCGAGUGGCGGACUCGCUAUGGCUCCGAGCGCAGUAUUUUCUCUCGCUUUGGACGUCUAGUGGGUGCCUGCCAUAAAACCCCCAAAUUUAUUGUGGUUGACCUCGGAUCAGGUAGGAAUACCCGCUGAACUUAAGCAUAUCAAUAAGCGGAGGA
rnacentral:misc_RNA from 1 species